rnacentral:misc_RNA from 1 species
CAGAGAACCUCGCCCUUCUGGGUGAAUCUCCAACCCUGUGUUAUUAUUACCUUUGUUGCUUUGGCGAGCCGCCUAGGCCACCGGCUUCUGCUGGUGUGUGCUCGCCAGAGAACCCCAAACUCUUGUUUAUUAGUGUCGUCUGAGUACUAUAAAAUAGUUA